rnacentral:rRNA from 1 species
GACGAACGCUGGCGGCGUGCUUAACACAUGCAAGUCGAACGGAAAGGCCCUGCUUGCAGGGUACUCGAGUGGCGAACGGGUGAGUAACACGUGGGUGAUCUGCCCUGCACUUCGGGAUAAGCCUGGGAAACUGGGUCUAAUACCGGAUAGGAGCCAUUUUUAGUGUGAUGGUUGGAAAGUUUUUUCGGUGUAGGAUGAGCCCGCGGCCUAUCAGCUUGUUGGUGGGGUAAUGGCCUACCAAGGCGGCGACGGGUAGCCGGCCUGAGAGGGUGGACGGCCACAUUGGGACUGAGAUACGGCCCAGGCUCCUACGGGAGGCAGCAGGGGGGAAGAUUGCACAAUGGGCGCCAGGCUGAUGCAGCGAGGCCGCGGGGGGGAUGACGGCCUUCGGGUUGAAAACUCCUUUCGCUAGGGACGAAGCUUUUUGUGACGGUACCUAGAUAAGAAGCACCGGCUAACUACGUG